CUACCCUUUCUUUCCCAGAGGUUGGAGGUUGGUCUGAAAGUACAAAGCUUCUGGUCAAGGCUUGGUCUUCCUUGUGUCCAGCCCAUCCUAGAGUUGUUUAGAGGUCUGCCAAGAGCGGCCUCAUUGAAACAAAAGAUGUUUCUAUCACUCUUAUACUUCAGGAAAUUCCAAAGAUUUUAGGAACUCUGCAUUAAAAAUUAGGAACAGAGGUCAAAUAUAUAUUUCUUAUGUCACACUUGGCUAAAUCUCAAGAUAUAGAAUGGCUAGUUCACAUGAAUUUUUUAGAGGUCGUAUCUUUCAAUGGUUAUAUCCUACUAUUUUUUAAUCCUGGAGAACACAAAAAGAAGUGCAAGAUAUGAUAGUCAAGCAUCAAGAUCUACCUAAACACAUGGGGCCAGACCCAAGAAUACCACCAGAAACCAGAAGUGAGGAGAGACCAUUAAUAUAGCCAAUAGAGGACUGCUUCCUUGAACAGAUAUGAGGGUCAAGGAUGGUGAGUGAACUGGAGGAAUGAAAGGGAAGUUUUCUGUGAAUACAUCUGAAGUUCUUUUUCUUUUCUAAAGUUCUAAAUGAAAAAUUUCUCUUGUAUUAUAACUCAAA
rnacentral:lncRNA from 1 species